rnacentral:tmRNA from 1 species
GGGGCCGUAAAUGGUUUCGACGGGGAUGCGGAAGGGCGGAGAAGCGAGCGGCAGCCCUGGACUGCCUCAAAAACGGGACUUAAAGAUUAACUGACAACUACGAAAACGUAGCUUUCGCAGCUUAAUGCGAAACGUCGCCCCUAAGCCUCCUGCGGCGUAGGCAAGCGGUGUCAGAAAAGCAGGGAACCAGCCGGCUUAAGCUUUGCGGUCGGCGGGAUUUUAUGAAGCUACUAAAACCGGCAUCCUGUCCGCGGGAGUCCGGCAGAGGGAAUGUCAAAUCACGGACUGCGCUCGGAGAAGCUUCGUUCGUCCGGUCUUCGGACAGGGGUUCGACUCCCCUCGGCUCCACU